rnacentral:tRNA from 1 species
GCCCGGAUAGCUCAGUCGGUAGAGCAGAGGAUUGAAAAUCCUCGUGUCGGUGGUUCGAUUCCGCCUCCGGGCGCCA